rnacentral:lncRNA from 1 species
CUAAUUAUCUCUAAGUGUACAUGUGGAAUAGAUGGAAGAUUGGGUAGUGCCUUCCAUCUCUUUUGGCAAGAAUUGGGCAUCAAAUCCUAAAGGGGCCUGUCCCCUCUCAUGUGGCAUGGUGUGGAGGAGAGAGAGGUGGGGCCACAUCUCUUCUUAUUUGGAUAGAAACCUUAUUAUGGGGUGCCAAGAGAUGGCGCCCCAACUACCUGACAUGUAAUCCUAGUGUGCCUCUUGUAUAUGCUUAAAGGGGCUGAUCAUAUAUCAUUUAUAUCUGAUUUUAAUUAAAAUAAAUCAUAUUAAAAAGGUAGAAGAUUUUUAUUAGAUAAGGAUCUACCUUUUUAAGAUAAUUAGGUUCCUAUUAUAUGUCAGGAUAGUGCCUAUAUAAAGGGUAUAUCUCUAGAAUUUCUAGGUAAUUGAUUUUUGAUGAAAAAUCUCUCUCUCUUCCUUCUCUACGCCUUCUCUCCUCCCUCUUUUCUCUUCCAUGCCCAAGAGUUGGGCAUCCCCUUUUUCACACGCCAAGAAGUGCUGCUUUGUCUUCAAGAUUGAAGAUCAAGGAGAAGAAGAAAGCUACUGUCAAGGAGUUGAUCCUGCAGUCCAGAUCAAGGUGUUGAUCAAAGUGUUCAAGGUUAAAAUUCUUCUUGAAAAG